CUCUCAAGAAUCCGGCAUGAAAUUGCGGCUUUCGCUGCUGCUGGGCCUGCAAUGCAAUGGACCUCACUCCGGUAUCUCUCUCUCGCUGUCCACUUGCCUUACGUUCCCCGCCUUGAUUAGCUGACGAAGUCGCCUCGUCAAAUCCGUCAACGUUCCUGCUGAUUUCUACGAGCUCCUGCAGUGACUCAACAGUUCGGUUGCAGACAAGAGUUGGGCUUUGGAGGAUUGGCCAAUGUCGGCCAGCAUAAGUCUCGUGGAUCUGGGUGGUGGCUUGAUUCGACAGAUUGACCCUUCACUGAAUGGCGACAAUGAGCUGCUGGUGCGAAAUCGGUCGUGUUUCAUGGCCGAAGUCUUCAUUCAUGUUUGAGUUUGUAGGAAAGAUAUUGAGCACUGCCGAUGGAACGAGAUUUAAUACUAAAACUUAGAGAGAGGCAUAUCGUGAAGUGCACGUAAUCUAUGCUGUGUUUUUUAAGCCAAUUCUUUUGUGGCGAUUUGGCAAUUUGACUUGGUUAAAGGUUGGUUCUCAUGGUUCUCAUGGGUUGAUGGUUAGGUGGGUCAAUUUCAACAAGUCAAUGGUUGCCAUGCCGUGGCAACGAACCUGUUAGUGGUUCAUCCAUGCUUGCUGCAUAAAAAGGAAAGUGAUGCGGUUAGAAAUAGCCUAAAACCUUGAGGUUCCCCUAAUCAACGUGUUGCUUUGUUUUGGUUAUAGCCUCAGAGUUUUCUGCAUGUUUUUUUUUCUUUUUCUAUUUUUAUUCUUUUGAAUUUCACCUUUUCCCUUAAAAUUAAACCUUGAAUUAUCGAUAUGGGGAUUUAGCGCAGCUAGCUCUACACUAACUGUCGGUUUCAUCAGUUCAAUCGGUAGCUGUUACAAAAUGUCAUCGGAGGGAUUCUCUUCAUGUAUAGACUGGGACUGUGGAAUAGGAGACGAAAUCGUAAGUUUGCGAUGAGGUUGCAGUGAUGUGAGCAAGACAAGAAAUACGACUAUUAAACCCGAUGUAAGGCCAUUGACUUUGUGGAUCUGCGACAAGUGGACCACAUCGGCACAAUGAUGGGACGUUGUAUGCAUGGACACUUCUUUAAAAUUUUGAUCAUCCCGAUUGAGAGAGGAUUUUAGCUUCUAGACUGAACUGGGCCUGCGAAUCUGCUGAAUGAUCUGCUUCCCUUUUGACUUUCGCUGCAAUAGUGCAAGUGCGGUUGUGGGUCGAAGGUUUUCGUUGCAAGUUGCGAGGCGAAGCAAGCAAAGACUUGUCGGGGUUUGACAUUCGCCCAAAUAUAUACUCUGCGAAGAGGCGUGCAAGACUUUGCUGCUAAAGUUUAUAAGAGUGGAGGACCGGCCACCGAUUGCAAGGUUCAGAUGGGAAGAGUUUCGGUGCGCAGGAUGUUGGCGUGUGAGUAUGCGUUCAUCUUGGUGCUGCUGGUGACGACGCCGUGCAGCGCUGCCCGAAUCCUGCGAGAUGGCUCAGCGUCCAAUAUCUACACUGCUAUGCGAGCAGGAUUAAGUACAGCACUGUGCCAAGGUCCAAAAUUCUCGCAACAAAACCUAUGUUGAAUCUGACGAGAUUGCUGUGAUCCCAUUGUUUUAGCAAUGUCUAGGAAACAGCUCCGUUGAAGAGAGCCACAAAACUGGGAAACUGCUAAUGAAAUGGAUUGAUCGACAAACUGGUGAUGGUAACGUGCCCGCUAGAUUGGAAGGUAGCGAUCGAAUGCAUAGACAAUGGGUUCGCCUUCUGAUCGAGGAAAUACACAUCGACUAUGCUGAACCAGCACCAAAUCCUAGCGCCCCACACAAUGCCACUCCAUGAAAGAAAUACGACUUUUGUAAUUGGUUACGAGGCUUAGUCUUUGUGACAGCCCGGAAUGGGCACGCAAGGUCGAUGAGUGGACUCGCCUGCCGGUCGAGUGGGGCAGAUCACACUAGACGAUGGUUCACCCAGCGGUUGUGUGUUUACAUGGAAUCAUAUUUUUCUGAAUGAACACAUUUAGAGACUGUUGACAAAAUCAACGACUGUGUAUAGUGAUGGAAAAUUCCACGUGCAAAUGUAAGCUUUUUCGGUUCGAGUUUCAUCACCGAAGAAGAGUCUUCGAAUAGUAA